GGGGAAUUAGCUCAGUGGUAGAGCGCUCGCUUUGCAUGCGAGAGGCCGCGUGUUCGAUCCUCGCAUUCUCAA
rfam:Zancudomyces culisetae strain COL-18-3 scaffold-3277, whole genome shotgun sequence.